AUUUAUAUAAUAUAUUUAGUAUAUUUGACUUCCAAUCAAAAAGUUUAACUUCAGUUAAUUUAAAUA
rnacentral:tRNA from 1 species